CCUACGGGGGGCAGCAGUGAGGAAUAUUGGUCAAUGGACGAGAGUCUGAACCAGCCAAGUAGCGUGAAGGAUGACUGCCCCAUGGGUUGUAAACUUCUUUUAUAUGGGAAUAAAACGUUCCACGUGUGGGAUUUUGUAUGUCCCAUAUGAAUAAGGAUCGGCUAACUCCGUGCCAGCAGCCGCGGUAAUACGGAGGAUCCGAGCGUUAUCCGGAUUUAUUGGGUUUAAAGGGAGCGUAGGUGGAUUGUUAAGUCAGUUGUGAAAGUUUGCGGCUCAACCGUAAAAUUGCAGUUGAAACUGGCAGUCUUGAGUACAGUAGAGGUGGGCGGAAUUCGUGGUGUAGCGGUGAAAUGCUUAGAUAUCACGAAGAACUCCGAUUGCGAAGGCAGUUCACUGGACUGCAACUGACACUGAGGCUCGAAAGUGUGGGUAUCAAACAGGAUUAGAUACCCGUGUAGUC
rnacentral:rRNA from 1 species